rnacentral:rRNA from 1 species
UACGGGAGGCAGCAGUGGGGAAUAUUGGGCAAUGGGCGCAAGCCUGACCCAGCAACGCCGCGUGAAGGAAGAAGGCUUUCGGGUUGUAAACUUCUUUUGUGGUGGAGCAAUAAGGUGUACGCGUACACCGAUGAGAGUACAUCACGAAUAAGCAUCGGCUAACUCCGUGCCAGCAGCCGCGGUAAU